GCUGGUGUAGCUCAGUAGGUUAGAGCGCACAACUUAUAAUUGUGUUGUCGUGGGUUCGAGUCCCACCACUAGCA
rnacentral:tRNA from 1 species